rnacentral:rRNA from 1 species
UACGAAGGGUGCAAGCGUUAAUCGGAAUCACUGGGCGUAAAGCGUCUGUAGGUGGUCCAAUAAGUCAACUGUUAAAUCUUGAGGCUUAACCUCAAAAUCGCAGUCGAAACUAUUAGACUAGAGUAUAGUAGGGGUAAAGGGAAUUUCCAGUGGAGCGGUGAAAUGCGUAGAGAUUGGAAAGAACACCGAUGGCGAAGGCGCUUUACUGGGCUAUUACUAACACUCAGAGACGAAAGCUAGGUUAGCAAAUGGG